rnacentral:rRNA from 1 species
UGCAGUCGAGCGGGGGAAGGUAGCUUGCUACUGGACCUAGCGGCGGACGGGCGAGUAAUGCUUAGGAAUCUGCCUAUUAGUGGGGGACAACAUCUCGAAAGGGAUGCUAAUACCGCAUACGUCCUACGGGAGAAAGCAGGGGAUCUUCGGACCUUGCGCUAAUAGAUGAGCCUAAGUCGGAUUAGCUAGUUGGUGGGGUAAAGGCCUACCAAGGCGACGAUCUGUAGCGGGUCUGAGAGGAUGAUCCGCCACACUGGGACUGAGACACGGCCCAGACUCCUACGGGAGGCAGCAGUGGGGAAUAUUGGACAAUGGGCGCAAGCCUGAUCCAGCCAUGCCGCGUGUGUGAAGAAGGCCUUAUGGUUGUAAAGCACUUUAAGCGAGGAGGAGGCUACUUUAGAUAAUACCUAGAGAUAGUGGACGUUACUCGCAGAAUAAGCACCGGCUAACUCUGUGCCAGCAGCCGCGGUAAUACAGAGGGUGCAAGCGUUAAUCGGAUUUACUGGGCGUAAAGCGCGCGUAGGCGGCUAAUUAAGUCAAAUGUGAAAUCCCCGAGCUUAACUUGGGAAUUGCAUUCGAUACUGGUUAGCUAGAGUGUGGGAGAGGAUGGUAGAAUUCCAGGUGUAGCGGUGAAAUGCGUAGAGAUCUGGAGGAAUACCGAUGGCGAAGGCAGCCAUCUGGCCUAACACUGACGCUGAGGUGCGAAAGCAUGGGGAGCAAACAGGAUUAGAUACCCUGGUAGUCCAUGCCGUAAACGAUGUCUACUAGCCGUUGGGGCCUUUGAGGCUUUAGUGGCGCAGCUAACGCGAUAAGUAGACCGCCUGGGGAGUACGGUCGCAAGACUAAAACUCAAAUGAAUUGACGGGGGCCCGCACAAGCGGUGGAGCAUGUGGUUUAAUUCGAUGCAACGCGAAGAACCUUACCUGGCCUUGACAUAGUAAGAACUUUCCAGAGAUGGAUUGGUGCCUUCGGGAACUUACAUACAGGUGCUGCAUGGCUGUCGUCAGCUC